ACAUACAUGUGUGUGUGUGUGUGUGUGUGUGUGUGUGUGUGUGUGUGUGUGUGUGUGUGUGUGUUAAGAUCUCAUUGAGAUGAGAUGAUCUCUUCGUUGUGUGAACAAAACUGAUAAUUAUAUAUAGUCUUGCUAUAUCAUCAUUACCAUUGCUAUUAUUAUUAUGAUUUAUUAUAAUUAAUGUAUGCGACGAUCGGGGUUGGACCGUGGCGCUUCGAUUCAAUAGAUUUUUCUUUUUCUUCUCUUCUUUUGUGCAUUUAAUCAAAAUUAUUUUGAAUUUGUAUAAUUUAUUUCCGAAAGUUCACUAAUUAUAAAUAUGAAAAUAUUUAUUCGAAAGUAUAAAUGUAGAGCGAUCUGCAUUAAAAGGAAAAAUACUGACGCAAAUUUAUAUGUAUUUUGUAUUUGUGCGUGUAUGUGUGUUGCGCGCGCGUGUGUAUAUAUAUGCAUAUGUACGUAAAUUGUAUAAAGUUUCAAAAGCUAAUGUAGUUAUAGAUAAACAAUCGAACCUUGGAAGACUAAAGUAAAGAUUUUAAAAUAGAGUCUAUAGAAAAGUUUUUAAAUAAGCGUCUCUCUUUUUGAGAAAUUUAUAGACAAAUCUUGUCUUUCAAGAAGGGAAAUUUUCAAUUAUACGGCUAGAGACUGAUGAAGAGUUUAAGAUUGAAGAGAAGAAAGUUUUUUUGAAUAUCCAUUGUUAAUAAAUGGAAAUUGUUACGGAACUUAGAUUUUUAUCGCGUAUUUUUACAUGUAUAACAUAUAAAGCAAUGAGAAAAGGAAAUUGAGAAUAUAUCGAAAAUAAGCGCUACGAAUCCGCCUGGAUUAACAAAUGAGAGGAAAGUCAUUUCUCUAUCUUUAUUUAAUUUAUUUGUUUUGUAAGUUGACUCGUUUUCGCAAUAUCUUUUCCAUGUACACAUAUGCGUAUAUUAGGUGUUUGGUGGAUUACCAGUCUGUCGUACUAACGUUCGCAUGCAGAUAAAGCAUAACAAAUCUAAUAAGAAAAUUUGGUGUUAUUUUGUAAAAAUUGUGCUUACGCAAAAUGGUUGUUAAAAUUUCAACUUUAAGGGAAGAUGAGUGAGAUGCGCCUUAUAGUGAAACAAAGACUCCAUAAAGACAACUCAGAGGAACAUGUCUCAAGUUGUUUCCAUGUUUACUUUCAGACACCGUAUAUAUGUGUAUGUGAAUCAGUGAUCUUUUCUUCUUUGUUUUUUAACACUGCCAGUAAGAAAGGUGAAUAUCAUAUUUGAUAACAAUGAUAAAAAGUGAUAGAUACAACAACCUAGACUGGCAAUAACUUUAUCGAAGAAAUUAUUUAUAUAUCUUUUCGUUCUUGCAAUUAAUUUAAACAAAUAUAGGCGAUAUUAAAUUAGGGAUACGUUAAGGAAAAUAAUCGUAGAAGAUAGGCGAUAAGGUGUGUGUCUGUGUGUGUGUAUAUGAUAAUAGAGAUAUUCAAAUUUUAAUGGGGAAACCAUUAGAUUUGUAAGUGUAAAUUUUAUCGAUCGAGAAGAUACGAUGAUGUAAAUAUAUCCGCGAAGACAACUUUACAAGUUGCGAUAGACGAGCAAAGCUUCCUUUUCUUAUGUUUUUCCCAGAGGAGACAGUUUUUUAAUCAACUAUUUAUACAAUCAAAUAUAAAUAAAAAUAACGUAAGAUCAAUCCGUGUACGCGCGCAUACACGUGCGUGCACUCAUACAGAGAGAGAGAGAAAGAGAACGUGUAAAAAGAUCUAAAGAUAAAUUAUGGGUUAAAAAUUGAAAUAUUAAAUUUGUGUAGUUUUUUUCCCAAAUUGAAUUUACAUUUACGUGGUAAGACGAGAAUGACCGAAUGUGGUCCGUCCUGAAAAUGUCCACCAGCAUCUCGUUAGCAAUUGUCGAUUCGCAGUGAUUGCUGAUAUAUCCUUUUUUCGCGAAGUUUUUUCUUUCUUUUCCUCCUUGUUUUUCUUGUGUUUUUUACGAGACGUUUCUUAUCACCGUUUUAACAGCGUGAUGAGAGCGUCUCAAUGUGAAAAAGACACUAUUUUUUUCCCAUUUUAUAGAAUAUUCCAACUCUCAGAAAUAUGCGUAGCACAGAAUGGUAGUGUACAGAAUGUUCAAUUUUUACCAUAUGUUUCUCAAGAGUAAAUUUAGUUGAUGUCGCUUCGCAUCCCCUCCCCAGUUUUUUGCGAAAAUGUCGAACUAUAAAUUAGUCCCUGAGUUACAAACGAUCGAGAAAGAGAGGUUGUCCUUUCUGGCAAGCUAAUUCGAGUCGUACGCAGAUUGAUUUUUUAAUGUGGGUAUUUUUUUAAACUGCAGUGAUGAUAUAACGUUAAUAUCGAAAGAAUGCUCUUAAAUAUAUAUAUUUUGUGACACAUUUUAGACACAUCCAGAUAAUAAUGUAAAUAGAGAAAAUAUAUAAACUUGGAACGAUCGUGUAGGCAUUUAGCAACGUAACUUGAAAUGCUAUAACACGCGAUGAAAGAAUUCCAAGUAAAAUAUAUUAUUUGCCACGACGCGGAAACCUGUUUGCAUAUCGAAAGUGAGAUACGACCCUAAUAGCACAGAUGUCCAGAGGACGUCCAGAGUACGUCUUGAGGACGUCCUGGGGAUGUUUCUUCAUCUUCAGGACGUCCUUAGGACGUCCCCAGGAGAACAGGGGUAUCAGGGGAAUAUCCUAUUCGUUCGUUUGUUUUCCUUUAAUUUCUUUUGGCACAAGUAGCAUUAUUGCCAGUUUCGAAAGCUUUUGUAAGAGACAUAUCGGCAAAGAUUGAACUUUCCGCAUAAAUGUUAAAAAUGAAACGAUUGAGAGACUGAUCGAUACAUAUAGCAUUUUACGACGCUUGUGUGUGUAUAUGUUGUGCACGCGUGUGUAUUGGGUAAACUGUUUAUCAUAUAAAUCCAACAUGUGCGCGUGCUCAUACACAAGUAUAGCAAGUAAAUAAUUAUGCAUAUACAUGCGAGAUUAUUUAUAUAAAAUGGACACAUACACACACGUAUUGCUAACGAUGACGACUGCCGUAAUAAAUAAUAUAUUAUUAAUUGUGUCGAUUAUUACAUCUCAGAUAUAUACAUAUGUGCGUGUGUGUAUGUGUGUGUGUGUGUGUGUAUGUAUAUAUGUAUGUAUGUAUGCAUGUAUGCAUAUGUAUAUGUAUAGAAAAGAAAAAUAUCUAUUCCGAAUCCUAUAUUGUGUAUAAUCGCUCUAUUAGGAUAUUAUAUUCUAUCGUAUAUAAUUAUUUACUAUUUAAGGGAUAUUAUUAUGAUCAUUCUAUUCGCGAUUAUCGAUAAUUUCAUUGAAAUAUCGAAUUGCGAAAUAGACAAGGUUUUUACAAUAAGAUAAGAAAAGAAUUAUACCACUUAUAUCCAUGUACAACUUUGUAAUAAACCAAUUUAUUUGUAAUUUGUCUCAAAUUGGUCAUAUUUGGAUCAGGAAAUUAGGAAAGUUGAUUAUUAAUUGUAACAUUUGUGUAAUUAAUAGGCAGACAAAAGAUGAGACAUUUGUAUAAAAACAAUUAACAUAAGUAAUUAUUCUUACUUGAGUAUACGUGUCGACAUGACAAUUAUUUCCCUGAUAUUGAAUUGAAACUAUAGGUAUAGUAAUUUAGACUGCGCGUUCGAGGAGUGAGGGUAGAAUUCAUGUAGGAAAGGACACACUCUAGGUCUGUUUUUUAUCGCUGAACUAGUGUACACUUAGGGAACAUAAAGAGAAAUAGAUAUACAUUUAGGAGUUAGUGAAAGGGAGAGAAGAAGAGAACAAGUGUAAGUUAGUACAGCCAGUUCAGCAAUAGAAAACA